GGUGGCUUAGUGGUAGAGUGCUUGCCUUGCAUGCAUGAGGCUCUGGGUUUGAUUCCUCAGCACCA
rfam:Dipodomys ordii contig_71708, whole genome shotgun sequence.